UACGAAGGGGGCUAGCGUUGCUCGGAAUCACUGGGCGUAAAGCGUGUGUAGGCGGUUUGUUAAGUCGGGUGUGAAAUCCCUGGGCUCAACCUGGGAAUUGCAUUCGAUACUGGCAAGCUAGAGUACGGUAGAGGGCGGCGGAAUUCCGGGUGUAGCGGUGAAAUGCGUAGAUAUCCGGAGGAACACCGAUGGCGAAGGCAACCGCCUGGGCCUGUACUGACGCUGAGACACGAAAGCGUGGGGAGCAAACAGG
rnacentral:rRNA from 1 species